rnacentral:rRNA from 1 species
AUUGAACGCUGGCGGCAGGCCUAACACAUGCAAGUCGAGCGGAUGAAGGGAGCUUGCUCCUGGAUUCAGCGGCGGACGGGUGAGUAAUGCCUAGGAAUCUGCCUGGUAGUGGGGGAUAACGUCCGGAAACGGGCGCUAAUACCGCAUACGUCCUGAGGGAGAAAGUGGGGGAUCUUCGGACCUCACGCUAUCAGAUGAGCCUAGGUCGGAUUAGCUAGUUGGUGGGGUAAAGGCCUACCAAGGCGACGAUCCGUAACUGGUCUGAGCGGAUGAUCAGUCACACUGGAACUGGAACACGGUCCAGACUCCUACGGGAGGCAGCAGUGGGGAAUAUUGGACAAUGGGCGAAAGCCUGAUCCAGCCAUGCCGCGUGUGUGAAGAAGGUCUUCGGAUUGUAAAGCACUUUAAGUUGGGAGGAAGGGCAGUAAGUUAAUACCUUGCUGUUUUGACGUUACCAACAGAAUAAGCACCGGCUAACUUCGUG